CACAGAGCAUUGGGCUCUGGGCCUAGUCUAAAUAUAGAAGCUCAGAAGUUCACUCCGAACAGUCGAAUACACACAAUUCACUGGGUCAUCAGUGCCACUCUUAGUUAUGCUUUGUGUCACAUGAAAGCAAUUCGUCUCAGUAGUACGUAGAAGCUUUCUAUGAAGGACUGCACUGAAACUUAACGAUUCUUGCAACACGAAGAGUGUUUAAAAAAUCUGAACCAGCUACACGGAAAAAGCCACCUACAUUUUCCGCAUGUGUGUAACUGCUACCGGGAGUUAAAGCAGCAUCUAAAAUAUUAGCUGCAGUUCUACAUUUUGUCAUCUGGAGAUUUAUCUCAUUCUUCCACGCAGCAACGGAUGGGCAUGAUAUGAAAAUAAAAUAAACCUAAAGAGGAACAAGCCAAAACCACGACACUGACUCAGAAAUCUGCCAUUCAAUUCCAGAAGG